rnacentral:lncRNA from 1 species
AAAGCACCCUGAGAGGCUGGGAAAAGAAGACCACACCCUGAAUCCUAAGAGCCUGGGUAAAGAAGCUGAAGCAAGUCCUCUAGGUGUGGGGCUCCACCCUACACACCCCACAAAGGGGAAGACAUGCCUAAUCCUAGUCUUUAAAGCCAUGCCCACUUCUCACCAAGUUUAUAAAGGGAGACUGGAGAGCUCAGGAAUUGAGUUUGUUUCUCGAGUUCUGCAAUCAUCAGCCCUUGAAGUUCCGAAGCCCUACCCUCCACCUGACAUUUUCAGUCUGGUUUGGACAACUAUCAAGCAAAAGACCAGCUCCUAUAUUUGAGUACCCACAAGGACCUUAAGAUCUCAAGACUGAAAACCUAGUUCAGCAAGAUGUUCUCGUUUCCCAAAGCAACUGGGGAUCUUGAAGUCCUCCAGGGCUUCCUUGAAGCCUAUAAGGAACAGGAAAUAACCCCAAGUGAUUUCCACAAAGGACCCUGCAUUAAUUAGCCUGCCAAAGGUCAGAUGUUACAUAGAGAUCUGAUAAUAACUCCUGAGGGAUAUCAGCCUUUUAAUGGGCACCGGGUGACAGACCUGAGAGACCACAUAAACCACUAUGAUCAAAUGACAUUGUUCAGCCAUGGAAGUCAGGAAAAUAUCCUGAGUGGUGAGUACACCCCCGGUGGUGCCAGACAUCAGCCUCCAGAGGCAAACAGUAUCCCUAUAUCCCUAUAUGGAUCCUCAGAUGAAGGGGACAAUUGGUGGCCAGCCUCUAGGUGUCAGAUGCAAAUUCCUGGAGCAUGAGGACAAUAUUCAAUGCCAAAGACAACCUGUCCCAGCAUCAGGAAACAACUGCCAGGGGGUUGAAGUCCCUUCCUGCUUGGGUCAGAUGAAGACCACCUCUGUAGAUGAGAAUGGUGAUGGCUUCUGACUUAGACAAUGUUGAAGGAAGCCACAGUUCUCAGAUGACUUCAUCUGCAAACCAAACCCCAUAUGUGGGCUUCUCCAUGAACCCUCCCAGUUCCUUUGUGAGUCAAAGUCAAGCUCUUGAGAGCUGUUCAGUGGCCACUUCAGUCCAGGUACAGCAUCCUCAAGACAAGUAAGACCUGGAGACCCACAGCCACGUGACCCAGGAGAAGCCUCCCCCCUUUGAAGUUCUUCUUCUUCCCAUGCCAGGUUUGUGACCAAUCUUACAUAAGGUCAUAUCACCUUAAAGACCAUAUCAAGAAACACAGGGGAGAGAAGCCCUUUGUGUGCAAUGAGCCUGGAUGCCAGUGGAGAUUUUUCCAAUCAGAAAAUCUCUG